GAUGAACGCUGGCGGCGUGCCUAAUACAUGCAAGUCGAGCGAACAGAUACGGAGCUUGUGCCUUUGACGUUUGCCGAGGACGGGUGAGUAACACGAGGGUAACCUACCUAAAAGACUGGAAAAAUUACGGGAAAGCGGGGAAUACGCCGGAUAACCUUUAGAACCGCAUGGUGCUAAAGAGAAAGAUGGCUUUGCUAGAUCGAAUCGAUGGAUCCGCGCCGUAUUAGCUAGUUGGUAAGGUUAAGGGUUACCAAGGGUAGGAUACGUAGCCGACCUGUUAGAGUGGUCAGCCGCACUGGAACUGAGACACGGUCCAUACUCCUACGGGAAGCACCAGUCUGCAACCUUCCGCAAUGGGCGAGAACCUUACCGAGCGGCGCGGCGUGAGUCAUCACGGCCUCCGGAUCGGAAAACUCUGUUAUUGGGUAAGAACAAAUGUCUAAUUAACUGUGCACGUCUUGACGGUACCUAGUCAAAAAGCCACGGCUAACUACGUG
rnacentral:rRNA from 1 species